UUGAACUCUGCUUGGAGGAACAGUUUGGAAUUAAUGUAUAAAGAGAUAUAAACUUCUAUAAUCCUCUGCUUUCUUCCGUGGAAUGAACCUCAGACAAAGACGUUCCGUCAGAAAUUGCCCUUUUAUUUUUCUAAUUAUGGCUAAGGAGCCGCUUGAGAAGCGCAGUUUUGUGAUUCACUUUGCUGCACGGCAGACAUGCCCGGCACGUUCGCGGUGACAGUCCCAGCUGAAAGAAGACAUGGAUGAGGGCCACGAGUCGCGCACGGAGUGCCACCCCGGAGCUCAUGAAGUCCUCAGUGCCUGCCAUCAUUUCUGUUCUCAGACUGGCGUUGUGAUGUUUCCUCCUCUGCGGCCCUUGGCCUGUCCACCAUGCAGGCUGUGAGUUCUGUAGGAGGCUGAGCAGUAAAAACCAAAUGACGUUGCUAAUAUUACACAAUGCAACAAUCUG